CAAUUUGCAAUUUCCCGAAGUGCAAUUUUUAAUAUAUAUAUAUAUAUAUACACACAUAUAUUUCGCCGCCAGUCAUUGUGCUACUUUUCUUUGAACGCUGCCCAGAAGACGAAGAUACUUUUCACACUCUUGAGAGUGUCAAAGACUUUUGAAGAACAAUUGUUGGAGGAAGAUAUGAAACUGGGUGCAUUGAAGAGAGAGAACGGAAUGCCCCAGACUGAGCCAUGUCGGGAAUAGAUAGCAGCUGAGGGGUGGGAGCAUCUCUGCUGCAGAAAGCAGCAAAUAGGCAAUAUUCCGGAGAGAGGCUUUAAAUUUUAACACAGCGCAGUGGUGAGGGCAGCUGCCGCGCGCGCCCAUUCGUCCGUCCCUCAACCCCCGGAGCCGCGCGCGGUGUGCACUGUCCGUGCGUGGAUUGUGACGGAGGCGGCUAGGGGGCGCGCACGCGUCGGAGCUCUGCGCUGGUUGGGGGAGCGCGCACGGCACCGGCUGUCAUGGUGACGGAGCCGCCGGGACAGACGGGCCUGAGUGAGUGACAGAGAUUUUUAACAUCUCUGGAGCAGAUGGGAUUUGAACCCGGCCCUCUCGGUCCAGGGGUAGGAACAUUGCCACCGUGCCACAAUCUUGUCAUGAUCGCUUUUAUACAAGUGGAAGACUGAGAUGGAUCGCAGCUGGUUUCUGCCAUGGAGUCUGCCCUGAGACAUUGGAUGCUGUGGAAGGUUUGGAAGAGCAAAAAGAGAGCUGGAGUUGCCAGG